GGCAGCGGGGGGAAGGACGGGACGAUGCGCGGCUGGCGGGGCCGGGGCGGCGAGCGGGAGCUUCGGCCGUGCCAAGAGCGCGGCGGAGGGGCUCCUGCCGAUGUGCGCAUCCCCUCCGGGCAGGCGGUGAAAGCGCUGCGGGUGAAACCCGACCUCCCCCCCUCUUUCCUCACCGCCUUUACAAAGGGAGGCGAAAAUCCGCCAGAAAUGCUUCUUCAGCCCCCCCCCCCCGGCACCACCGUUCCCUCACGGCGCAGGUCGCCGGCACCGACCCUUGAAAUCUCUCUUAUUUUUCCUCAUAGCGUGAAGAUUUUUGGCCCAGAAUUGCCCUUUCUAUGCGGCCCCCCCCCCCCCAUCAGCACCACACGCACCCCGAGGUGGGCAGUUUGAUGCCUCAUUCUCUUCCACCGCUUUUCUCCUUCAAGCCGCCACCUCCCGCCAUGGAAAACACCCCAACGCGCUUAAAAAGAGAGAAAUCAACCCCAAAACACCCGAGGAUUGAUUUGCCUUCCGAGCCCAAGAGGUGUGGGGAAGAAGAAGCCGUCGCCGGUCGUCUUGCUCCCAACGACAACCUCGCCGCCAUAACGUUAAUUAAAAGCAUAUCCUUCGUGUGGUCAGACGUGGUAAUACUGUAAAUAUAUAUAUAAUAUAUAUAUAGAUACACCCCGUAACAUCCAAACGCUCGUUGUUGGAGGCUGCAGCCGAGCUCGGCUCCUUAUUCCAGAAGCUUCUACGGGGGAGGGGAGCACCCACUGCGGAGCCUUUGCCGCAGCGCCGAGCAGGCGUGGUCCCUGCCGGAGGAGGAGGAUGGUGAUGAUGAUGAUGAUGAGGAUGCACCACCUCUCCCUGGCAUCUCUUCCCAAGCCUCUCCCCCUCGCUAGAUUUCCCCAUCCAUGACAAGGGUGCUGGGAGGUGUUGCAAGGAUGCAGAUUGUUUUGCUGCGCCCUGGGAACUGGGCUGGGAUUUCUCCGCCUGCUCCAUGCAGACGACUGUGCAGCUUGCCAGGGUGAAGCUGCGGACCUGCCUGCUCGACAUCCCCAAGUGACCUCCUUCAGUGCUGGCUCUGCUGUGGUUUGACCAGAGCUCUGCAUGAAAGCUGGCUGCUAGUGCUAAUGCUCCCGGCGAGCCAGAGCGACCCUGCUUGGGGGACUGGCCCCACCGAGCUAAUGCAGAUGCUCUGCUUCCAUGACAGAACCCUGCACACCACUUUUCUCCAGCACAUCCCUUCCCUGAGCCAGGGAAACACGGGAUUGUUUGUGCAAACCCUCUCCACACCUUUGUAAGUAUUACAAACACGCAGUGAUCUCCGAGCCUCCUGGGCAGUGGGAUCUGGCCUUGCUGAGGAGCAAAAAGCAUGGUGCUCUGCUUGUGUAAGCGUGUGUUGUACACGGGCCACAGAAACCCACAAUGUUUCUGUGGUUACUUCUGUCUGGAUAGCACGAGUAGGUCCCAGGGCUUCCCCUCCCCACUGCUUACUAAUUCACAAAAGCAAAGGCUUUGUGGAAAAAAAGCUCUGCCUUGUGGCCUUAAACAAAAAUAAAUAAAUAAAGUGCUGUGGAUUAGUCAUCCUCAGUGUUAAAGGAAGCUGUGUUUGUCCAUCCUGUGUGUAACGUGUGUGUGUGUGUGGGGCAUGAACCAGCAGCUUCAUUCGUGGAGGCAGGUAACAUGCUCCGGUCGCUGCUCUGUGGAGCGGUGCCACUGAGGCUCCAUCGAGCUGCUCCUGGCGGGUGGAAAAGGGACAAUCCAGCUUUUCAUACCUUUCCCUCCUCCAUUUUCCUUCCUCAGAGCUGGUAUCUCCGCAUUGUCAGGUGUGGAAACACGGAGACUAACAACAGUGAGGACUGGGAUGUGUUGGUUUGGAGAUCUGCCUCGUGCUCCUCAGAGGCCUUUGCUGGCAUGGAGGGACCCUGGACUGAGAAGCUGGCUGCUCGGGAUGUUUCCAUGUUUUUCAGCCUGGAAGACUGAAGUCCUCUCUGUUUAGCUGAUAAAAUGCCCUGUCUUUGGGAAAACCCCUUGUAAGGAUCCAGAACCAGACCUCGUGUUCAAAGCAUUAUCAGUGUGUAAGCUGAUAUCCUCUGUCUUGGCAACAAAUGAGCCCAAAUAUCAAACAGCACCAAUUCCUUCUUGGAGAAAAUUAUCCAUUGCAUAAAAUGUUAAUGGGUGCCUGCAGAGCCUGUUGAAGGUAUUGACAGUUAGUGACCACUCUUUGUGCUUCCAACCAGCUGAAACAGAGAGCAAAGCCAGCUCACAUGACGAAGCAUGCU